CAAUAGCGUAUAUUAAAGUUGUUGCAGUUAAAAAGCUCGUAGUUGAAUUUCUGGUGGGCGCGCCGGUCUUCCAAGUGUUGUACUGGGCGCAGUCCGCCAUCCUUGUGGAGAGGGCUCGCAUUGAGUUGCGUGUCGGAUCUGCAUCAUUUACUGUGAAAAAAUUAGAGUGUUUAAAGCAGGCUGUCGCUUGAAUACAUUAGCAUGGAAUAAUAAGAUAGGACUUCGGUCUAUUUUGUUGGUUGCGAGCCGAGGUAAUGAUUAAUAGGGAUAGUUGGGGGUAUUCAUAUUUAAUUGUCAGAGGUGAAAUUCUUGGAUUUAUGAAAGAUGAACAACUGCGAAAGCAUUUACCAAGGAUGUUUUCAUUAA
rnacentral:rRNA from 1 species